rnacentral:lncRNA from 1 species
GUGAUGUUUCAGUUUGGUUAUGAAAUAAUCCACUGGGUAUGAGGCCAAAGAGAAUUGGAUGUGGGUUUAAAUAAGAUUGAUCACGAGUUGAAAAUUGUUGAAGCUUCUUACAUGGGGCUUUAUCUUAUAAGUCUUUUUGCUUUUGCAUAUAUUUGAGAUUUUCCACAUGAAGAUUUUACACAAAAUCAAUUGCUUUGCUCAUCUCUUUUCUCCUGUAACCUGAUUAUUCUGCGUCCGAUGUGGUUUUAGGCUCACAAGGCGAGUACUCAAGGAAUGUUUGGUCAGAAUCGUGCUGCUCUUGGUGAAGGUGGACGGGCUGUAUCGCAUUGUGAGAACUACAAGAAGCAGAGAGCAAUGCAGCUUAUAGCAGGAGGGGUGAAAGAAAGAAAAAGAAAAGGAAGGAAAGAAGGAAGCAAGAAAAACAUUUAGAGAAUGCCUAGCCUGUCUCUAGAAAUCCUAAGGAGGCUGAAUUAAUCCCUUCCAAAGUCGCACAGGUAAUUUGGCAUAGCUGAAUUGUGAUUCAGUUGAUUUGUAAUUUCUAACAGAGUAAUUUUCCACUAUCAUUUCUUUUAUCGUUAUUAAUUAUUUUUGUGGGUUGCGUACAAUUUGCUUGAUGCAAUACUAAGUGUUGGGAAUACAAAGAUGAGUAAAUUAUCAUAUUUUAUUAUCAAAUCUCUUGCCUGAUUAACUGAGAGUUUUCCAUGCUUCAAGGUGACAAGCAACUCAUCAGUGCAAAUGUCUAAUAUGUGUGUUAAUAUGCUAGUCAUUCCUUCUCAGUGAUAUAACAUAUUAAUGGUUACAAUAGAAUGUCAGCAAAGAUGGCCCC